UACGUAGGGUGCGAGCGUUGUCCGGAAUUAUUGGGCGUAAAGAGCUCGUAGGCGGUUUGUUGCGUCGGCUGUGAAAACUUCACGCUUAACGUGGAGCCUGCAGUCGAUACGGGCAGACUUGAGUUCGGCAGGGGAGACUGGAAUUCCUGGUGUAGCGGUGAAAUGCGCAGAUAUCAGGAGGAACACCGGUGGCGAAGGCGGGUCUCUGGGCCGAUACUGACGCUGAGGAGCGAAAGCGUGGGGAGCGAACAGGAUUAGAAACCCCCGUAGUCC
rnacentral:rRNA from 1 species